UAUUGAAGGUUGAUGGCUGGAGAGGUAUGGAAGACACCGGAGACAGUCAGUCACUGUAGAAAUUUGACUGCUUGAGUCCGUCCGUUGUAGAAGUUCGUCUGGAAUCCAUUCGCUGUAAAAGUUUGGACAGAAUCCGAUUCUUGUAGGAGUCCGAAAGGAGGCUGCUUACUGUAGAAGCUCGGAUGGAGAUCGAUUGCCGUGGA
rnacentral:lncRNA from 1 species